rnacentral:lncRNA from 1 species
GUCUGGGCGGUGACGUUUGGUCUGAGCUGACCUUUCCUCACAAUCGUGAAUUUGGGCUGUGAGGAUCAGGCCUUGUCAGAACCCGAGAUGAGAGGAGAGAGAUUUCUGGUUCAGUAAGGGUGAGAGCCAGGCUCCAGACUAUAGUGAAUUUUCCGAGGAGAUAUGUAUGACCUACAGUGACUCUGACGCUAAAUCUGCAAGUUCUUUUAACACCACGGAAAUAAUGUCUAAAUGCUCAAGACAAAAUCACUUAUGGUGUUGUCUACAUACCUUAUGACAUCGUGUAUGGCAAGGCACUUUAAGGUCAGAACUACAGAUGUCAAACUAGUUCUCUUAAUUUCAGGGAUCACAUGGUCAGGCAUACACUGGUUCCAAAAAUCUUUACUAUAGAUCCGAAAGCAUUUUCCUGAAGAAGUCCUGCCAGCUCGGCCACUUCGCUGUAAUGCCUCGCUCCUACAAAAGGAAAAAAACCCAAAAAUUCCCCAAAAUGUUCUGUGGGUUUCUCAGGUAAUUUACUUUGUCUCCCCAAAACAGCUAGAAAUUACCUAAUCAGUUGUUCUUUGAAUAAAAAGAUUUGACAUAGAGACUUACUUUGAAAUUGGAACCACCUCCAGGAUGUCCAACCCUAAUCUGGGGUUGUGAUUUAACUGCUUCACAAAGCCACCAUCUACCACAUAUCUAAGAAGAAUCAAAGCAAGUUAAGUUUCUGGAAAAUAAAAGAAGACUUGUUAAUUGUUAACCACUUUGGUUUCUCCUUUUCUAGCAAACUAGCAGGUACACAAUGCCUUUUAUGUUAAGUGUAAAACUUGAAAGUCAAGAAAUUGGAACCCUCGUAUGUUGUUGGUGGGAAUGUAAAAUGGUUCAGCCGAGGUGGAAAAUUGUUCGGAGGUCCUCAAGAAGUUAAACACAAAAUUACCAUAUGAUCCAGCAAUUCCAUUUCUAAGUGUACACCAAAAAGAACUGAGAACAAGUACUCAAACAAAUACUUAUAGACCAAUGUUCAUAUCAGCACUAUGAAUCACAGCCAUAAGGUAAAAACAACCUAAAUGUCCAUUAACCAUUAAUGGAAGAAGGGAUGAACAAAUUGCUUUGCAUAUAUGUAUGUAGUAUAUAUACACACGCAUAUAUACACACACAAUGGAAUAUAUAUAUAUAUACACACACACACUAUGCAAUAUUAUUCAGCCACAAAAAAGAAUGAAGUACUGAUACAUGCUACAAUGUGGACGAACCUCAAAAAUAUUAUGCUAAGUGAAAGAAAGCAAACACAGAAGGCCACAUAUUAUAUGAUUCUAUUUGUAUGAAAUAUCCAGAAUAGAAAAUACCUACUGCUUCCUGCUGACACAUCUAAAGAAUUUUUUAAAAAAGAAAAUACGUACAAACAAAAAGUAAGACUGGUAGUUGCCAAGGGCUGGGGUCGAGAGGGGAAUGUGGAGUACCUGCUUAAUGGGUAUGGGGUUUUAUUUUGAGGUGUUGAAAUAUUUUAGAACUAAGCAGAAGCAGUGGUUGCGCAAUACUGUAAAUGUACUAAGUACUACUUAAUUUUUCAUUUUAAAUGAUUAAUUUUAUGUGAAUUUUGCCUCAAUACAAAAAUACACAAACUUGAAAGUC